GGGAGCGGCAGACGGGUGAGUAACGCGUGGGAAUCUACCCAUCUCUACGGAAUAACUCAGGGAAACUUGUGCUAAUACCGUAUACGCCCUUCGGGGGAAAGAUUUAUCGGAGAUGGAUGAGCCCGCGUUGGAUUAGCUAGUUGGUGGGGUAAAGGCCUACCAAGGCGACGAUCCAUAGCUGGUCUGAGAGGAUGAUCAGCCACACUGGGACUGAGACACGGCCCAGACUCCUACGGGAGGCAGCAGUGGGGAAUAUUGGACAAUGGGCGCAAGCCUGAUCCAGCCAUGCCGCGUGAGUGAUGAAGGCCCUAGGGUUGUAAAGCUCUUUCACCGGUGAAGAUAAUGACGGUAACCGGAGAAGAAGCCCCGGCUAACUUCGUGCCAGCAGCCGCGGUAAUACGAAGGGGGCUAGCGUUGUUCGGAAUUACUGGGCGUAAAGCGCACGUAGGCGGAUCGUUAAGUGAGGGGUGAAAUCCCAGGGCUCAACCCUGGAACUGCCUUUCAUACUGGCGAUCUUGAGUUCGAGAGAGGUGAGUGGAAUUCCGAGUGUAGAGGUGAAAUUCGUAGAUAUUCGGAGGAACACCAGUGGCGAAGGCGGCUCACUGGCUCGAUACU
rnacentral:rRNA from 1 species